rnacentral:lncRNA from 1 species
ACUAUAAAAUGCUUGGUAAUAAGCUUCAUGAUUCUCUCCAGGUGGGUUAUCUGCGUUCACUGAAGAAUUGAGGCAGGACCCAGAGCUGGCACUUGAGUAUUCACACAUACCAGAACGUCUUCUGCCUAUCAUCUCAUACGUGGAUCCAUCUGACAGUUCUGGGUCAUCAUCAGUGAAUACAGGGGCUCCUCGGAAUGCCUGGAGGACCGGUGUCAGGAUUCCACCCGAUACCCAAAUCUUUAGAUGCUCAAGUCCCUCGUGGAGAACUGCAGCACGUCUACCCAGAACCCACGAGCACCCUCACCUCAAUGGCUCAAAACAGCUGACAGGUGAGCGCGCUGUGUCAGCAGAGGCUCUUCUGUGCUGUUUAGGGAAGAGCUGAUCUGGGGAAAAGUCCGAACAUGUUCGCUACAAAAGUGAUUUUUCCUCAGAUACUUUCGAUCUGCAGCUGGUCGAAUCAUUGGCUAUAAACCUUGUGGAGAACCCAUCACACUUACACAGCUCACCUCGGGACUAGUGGGAAGGAUUUGGAUAUAAUUCCUGUGUAAAAGUCUGUCUUACUUGUUUAAGUCUGUAUAUCAAUCCCGCCCAAACUUCUCUGAAUUCAGAAGAGAGAAGAGAAGGCACUGAUCAGAAAACUUGGUGUCACUGAAUAAUUCACAUUUGGAAAGAAAAAGCGAUUACUUUUUAAGGAGGGAGACUCCCAUGAGUCUUUUCAGCUAACAUCACCUACUCUAAAAACUCAGAUUAAUUAUUUAUGGCAGUGUAUGUUGUAAUGUCAAAACCAAACUGUUAUUUGGGAAAUAUGAUAGGGACAUAAAAAACCUCUCUUACUUUAG